UGAGGAAUAUUGGACAAUGGGCGCAAGCCUGAUCCAGCCAUGCCGCGUGCAGGAAGAAGCAUCUAUGGUGUGUAAACUGCUUUUGUACGGGAAGAAACACUCCUUCGUGAAGGAGCUUGACGGUACCGUAAGAAUAAGGAUCGGCUAACUCCGUGCCAGCAGCCGCGGUAAUACGGAGGAUCCAAGCGUUAUCCGGAAUCAGUGGGUUUAAAGGGUCCGUAGGCGGUUUAGUAAGUCAGUGGUGAAAGCCCAUCGCUCAACGAUGGAACGGCCAUUGAUACUGCUAGACUUGAAUUAUUAGGGAGUAACUAGAAUAUGUAGUGUAGCGGUGAAAUGCUUAGAUAUUACAUGGAAUAACAGUUGCGGAGGCAGGUUAGUACUAAUGGAUUGACGCUGAUGGAAGAGAGCGUGGGGAGCAGA
rnacentral:rRNA from 1 species